AUUGAACGCUGGCGGCAGGCUUAACACAUGCAAGUCGAGCGGAGACUUCGGUCUUAGCGGCGAACGGGUGAGUAAUACCUAGGAAUCCGCCUAUUAGUGGGGGAUAACGAAUCGAAAGGUUCGCUAAUACCGCAUACGUCCUACGGGAGAAAGGGGGGGAGUCUUCGGACCUCUCGCUAAUAGAUGAGCCUAGGCCGGAUUAGCUAGUUGGUAGGGUAAAGGCCUACCAAGGCGACGAUCUGUAGCUGGUCUGAGAGGAUGGCCAGCCACACUGGAACUGAGACACGGUCCAGACUCCUACGGGAGGCAGCAGUGGGGAAGUAUUGGACAAUGGGGGCGAACCCUGAUCCAGCCAUGCCGCGUGUGUGAAGAAGGCCUUCGGUUG
rnacentral:rRNA from 1 species